GUCGAGCGGAGAGAGGUAGCUUGCUACUGAUCUUAGCGGCGGACGGGUGAGUAAUGCUUAGGAAUCUGCCUAUUAGUGGGGGACAACAUUUCGAAAGGAAUGCUAAUACCGCAUACGUCCUACGGGAGAAAGCAGGGGAUCUUCGGACCUUGCGCUAAUAGAUGAGCCUAAGUCGGAUUAGCUAGUUGGUGGGGUAAAGGCCUACCAAGGCGACGAUCUGUAGCGGGUCUGAGAGGAUGAUCCGCCACACUGGGACUGAGACACGGCCCAGACUCCUACGGGAGGCAGCAGUGGGGAAUAUUGGACAAUGGGCGCAAGCCUGAUCCAGCCAUGCCGCGUGUGUGAAGAAGGCCUUAUGGUUGUAAAGCACUUUAAGCGAGGAGGAGGCUACUUUAGAUAAUACCUAGAGAUAGUGGACGUUACUCGCAGAAUAAGCACCGGCUAACUCUGUGCCAGCAGCCGCGGUAAUACAGAGGGUGCAAGCGUUAAUCGGAUUUACUGGGCGUAAAGCGCGCGUAGGCGGCUAAUUAAGUCAAAUGUGAAAUCCCCGAGCUUAACUUGGGAAUUGCAUUCGAUACUGGUUAGCUAGAGUGUGGGAGAGGAUGGUAGAAUUCCAGGUGUAGCGGUGAAAUGCGUAGAGAUCUGGAGGAAUACCGAUGGCGAAGGCAGCCAUCUGGCCUAACACUGACGCUGAGGUGCGAAAGCAUGGGGAGCAAACAGGAUUAGAUACCCUGGGUAGUCCAUGCCGUAACGAUGUCUACUAGCCGUUGGGGCCUUUGAGGCUUUAGUG
rnacentral:rRNA from 1 species